AAACCAACAGGGAUUGCCUCAGUAACGGCGAGUGAAGCGGCAAAAGCUCAAAUUUGAAAUCUAGCACCUUCGGUGUUCGAGUUGUAAUUUGAAGAUGGUAACCUUGGGUUUGGCUCUUGUCUAUGUUCCUUGGAACAGGACGUCAUAGAGGGUGAGAAUCCCGUCUGAUGAGAUGCCCAUUCCUUUGUAAGGUACUAUCGAAGAGUCGAGUUGUUUGGGAAUGCAGCUCUAAGUGGGUGGUAAAUUCCAUCUAAAGCUAAAUAUUGGCGAGAGACCGAUAGCGAACAAGUACAGUGAUGGAAAGAUGAAAAGAACUUUGAAAAGAGAGUGAAAAAGUACGUGAAAUUGUUGAAAGGGAAGGGCAUUAGAUCAGACUUGGUGUUUUACGAUUAUCUUCUCUUCUUGAGUUGUGCACUCGUAUUUCACUGGGCCAGCAUCGAUUCGGAUGGUAAGAUAAUAGCAGUUAAAUGUGGCUCUUCGGAGUGUUAUAGUUUCUGUUGAUAUUGCCUGUCUGGAUCGAGGGCUGCGUCUUUUGACUAGGAUGCUGGCGUAAUGAUCUAAUGCCGCCCG
rnacentral:rRNA from 1 species